UCCGCUAUGGUGUAACGGUCAGCAUACUGCCUUUUCACGGCGGAGACCGGGGUUCGAUUCCCCGUAGCGGAG
rfam:Rhynchosporium commune strain TK7 genome assembly, contig: RCO7_scaffold003